CCAAAGCCUCCUUCCGUGAAGUGCUGGAAUGCGGAUGUAUGCAAUGACACGGCAAAACCCUCCAGGGAGGGACAGGACAUGGGAAAAUCCUUAUCUCCAGUACAGUCACGUCACAGGCAGGACCCUACUGACGAGGCUUGGACAAACUCCCAGAGCCAAGCUACUUGAAUGUGGCAGGUACGUAUGGAGGCUUUUAAAACUGAGAGUUUAAGUGAUUCCUUCACAGGGAGAGACAAGAAUUUGGUGUCACAGUAACUUUUCCAGGUGACUAAGGUCCAAAGGAGACACGAAGACUUAACAUGAUGGCAGAAGGGCCCUCCAAAGCCACGGGCGGGCAGGCAGGUUCCAGAGCUCACGGACCUGCCCCAGUUCCUGUGCCCAGGGAGCUGAUGAAAGCCCCUCUGACCCUGAACUUGUGAUGCUUCCAAGGCUCAGGUCUUCCUGUUCCAAUUCCACAGGACUUCUUCAUGAUUCUGGUGAAGGCUACGGACUCUCUUCAGAAGAUCAAUUCACACGUAUACAUAAAACUUUACCCAUACAUCCCCAGCUUGUGCAUGGCCCCCUGGGGUUCUGCAGAACAGGCAACUCCAUUAAAGUGCUGGAAUGGGCUCUUCAGAGAAAAGCCCUCUCCAUUUUGUGCUGGAAAAGUAAGUAGCGGCAUCCUCCGCAAGCCCGUGGCCCUGACACUCCUUUGCUAUGAAGGUAAGUCGAUUCUCCCAAGGAGACAGGAACUGAAGAGCUCAGCGAGAGGCAGAGCCCGCCCUCAGAGCUGCCAUGGCUGAUCCCUAACAGGAAAAUUACCACCCCGGUCUCUGCGCUGCAAACCCUAAGAGGACAGCCUACGCCCUGUCACUCCUGCGUGUACAACUUUGCCGGAAGUACAGCAGUGCCAUCUCCGCUGCCCUGAAUCCACACGUCUCUCAGAGACACACACACACACACACACACACGCACACACACACACACACACACUCCCUUUAAGUUGGGGGUUCAUAUCGUCUUGUGGCAAGAUGUGUCUUCCUUCUAAGGCAAGAGAUCCAAAACUUUAGAGAAAAUCGUGCGGCAGAGAAUCAAGCAAAGGGACUUGAAACAUACGGACCUGAUUGCACUCCAAAUGCACAGGCAGAGCGAAAUGGACCGGGGGAAAAUCACCGGUGCCCGAGGAAAAGCUGGAGGCUCUGCCAAACCCCAAACGUUUCCCGAGCAGCUGGAGAGUGUCAGCAAAGCCCACUGGCUCUCACAGCGAUGCAGAAGAACAGCGGGAGCUUUCUUGGUUCUCUGGGCUAUGGCAGCCGGUGGCCACCCUGCUGCUCCCUCCGGGGACACCACUGCCCCCACGCUCAGCUGGCUCCACCCAGGGGCCUGUGGCUGCACCAGAAGUGGCCGUCUUGGGACCUUGCUGCAUUUGUCAAGGGGGAACAACGUGACUCUGGUGGGUGGCAGAGGCCAUGUGGAGACUGGUCUGCGUGUCCUGGGGAGUCUUCCUAACCCACCUCCAUGCACACCGUCUGCCCGUUUGCGUGAGGACAAGGAACUUAAGUUGGGUCUUUGGGGAGCCUUUGGGCUGGAACCAACUUACUUUAUCAAGACAAGAACCCCUUGUCAGCAAAUAAAGUGAGAGCUCUCUGUCCGUAGGAUGGUGGGAUUAAUGCCUUCUCACCCAUGUCACGGAGCUGAAGUUGGGGAGAAAAUGAGAUCAUGGGAAAUUUCUGGAAGGUGAAAGUGCCAUGUGCAAGGCAGUAUGCCUGUUCUUUGUCAGGAGUUUUUACAUGAAAUCAUUUCAGAAGGAGUUUUACUGCCCUCCUGAGAUCCCUCAUAGGGAGAUGGAGAAUUUGCUUCCUCCAGAGCCUGCUGAGUGUGUGCUCUCUGAGUCCAGAUAUCCACGGCCCUCGGAGGACUCAGUGCCACAGGGAAGGAGUUUCUGACCAACAGACCCCAAAGUCGCUUUCAGGCAGCUGUGCCCCUCACGCCCUCCAAGCCCAGGGUCUCCAAGCUGUGGCUGAGAACCCACCCAUCUCUCUUUCCAGAGACCGGAGCUUUUAUGAGGGCUGAUACCCCAUCCCAGGGACCCCAGGAGCAGGGCAAGGGGCUUCCCACUGACACCUCCAGGGAAAGACACAUGCUCUCUGCUGUCCCAAAGAGCUGCUGUCCUCUCCUGCCCUUGAUCAGGUAGGUGGUACCUGGAAAAUAGGGUUGCCACCCAGCCCCCCAGAGUCAUUCUUUAGCAUAAUCAGCCUGGAACUUCAAAGCAUCCCCCCCUGCCAGCACAAUUCCAAUUACACACUCCCUCAUCUAAUCGACAGUGGCGAUCUGUGAGGCCGAUGCUACUUUCCCACCAGUUCUUCCCAAUCAUUCCACUUGUGCUGACAGCCCCUUAUCUUCUGAAAGCCAAAACGGAUGCUGGCCCUGGAGGCUGGCUUGCGCCGUCCCGGCAGGUUGGCCGAGCCCCACAAGAAGUCCCAUCAGAUACAGCUUCCUAGCUCCCCCCCCCCCCAACCCCAUUCAUCCAAGGCAGAGAGGGCUCUCCCUGCAUUUCAAGCAGGGAACUCAUUAUCUUCCUUUAUAUUCCAUUCCUGCAACAUUUCUGUGCUAGGCACUGGGACCCAAAAAAUGAGUAAGAAAGAUGAAAAGGAGCUCACAGUUUAGUAGAAGAAACCAACCAGGAAAUGAGUGAUUAUGGGAUCUAAUAGAUAUAGUAUCUAAUAGAAGGAUAAACAAUGAGAGUGCAAAGGAGGGGCUGCCCAACUGACUUGGGCGUGGUAGGGAGCUCUGCUGAAGAGGUGACAUUUGGGCAGGGUUCUGAAGCAUGUGUAAGAGUUCACCUCUUCAUUCAGAAGCUUUGGGUCCCAUUUAGAAAAUGGUCUAAAACGAGGGUGUUUUUAAAAAAUUCCUUUAUUUGAAAUGCAAUUUGAAUUUUAAAAGAUUUGCACUGUUCAAAAAAUAAAAUAAAAUAAAACAAGGGUGUUUAA